rnacentral:miRNA from 1 species
AAAUAGAAAAGCUUCCGGUUUU